UCCGUACGAGCGCAACCCUUGUCCUUAGUUACCACGCACGUUAUGUGGGCACUCUAAGGAGACUGCCGGUGACAAACCGGAGGAAGGUGGGGAUGACGUCAAGUCAUCAUGGCCCUUACGGCCUGGGCUACACACGUGCUACAAUGGUCGGUACAAAGGGUUGCCAAGCCGCGAGGUGGAGCUAAUCCCAUAAAACCGAUCGUAGUCCGGAUCGCAGUCUGCAACUCGACUGCGUGAAGUCGGAAUCGCUAGUAAUCGUGAAUCAGAAUGUCACGGUGAAUACGUUCCCGGGCCUU
rnacentral:rRNA from 1 species